AUUGAACGCUGGCGGCAGGCCUAACACAUGCAAGUCGAACGCGUGGCGGACGGGUGAGAAAUGUCUGGGACAGUGCCCGAUGGAGGGGGAUAACUUGUGGAAACGGUAGCUAAUCCCGCAUACCAUCGGAUGUGCCCAGGUGGGAUUAGCUUGGAGGUGGGGUAACGGCUCACCUAGGCGACGAUCCCUAGCUGGUCUGAGAGGAUGACCAGCCACACUGGAACUGAGACACGGUCCAGACUCCUACGGGAGGCAGCAGUGGGGAAUAUUGCACAAUGGGCGCAAGCCUGAUACAGCCAUGCCGCGUGUGUGAAGAAGGCCUUCGGGUUGUAAAGUACUUUCAGCGGGGAGGCGUUACUCGCAGAAGAAGCACCGGCUAACUCCGUGCCAGCCGCCGCGGUAAUUC
rnacentral:rRNA from 1 species